UACGUAGGGUCCAAGCGUUUGUCCGGAUUUAUUGGGCGUAAAGAGCUCGUAGGCGGUUCGGUAAGUCGGAUGUGAAAACUCAGGGCUCAACCCGGAGACGCCAUCCGAUACUGCUGUGACUGGAGUCUGGUAGGGGAUCACGGAAUACCUGGUGUAGCGGUGAAAUGCGCAGAUAUCAGGUGGAACACCGAUGGCGAAGGCAGUGAUCUGGGCCAGUACUGACGCUGAGGAGCGAAAGCUAGGGGAGCAAACAGG
rnacentral:rRNA from 1 species